rnacentral:rRNA from 1 species
AAUAAUACCCUGGUAGUCCACGCCGUAAACGGUGAGUGCUAAGUGUUAGAGGGUUUCCGCCCCUUUAGUGCUGCAGCUAACGCAUUAAGCACUCCGCCUGGGGAGUACGGUCGCAAGACUGAAACUCAAAGGAAUUGACGGGGGCCCGCACAAGCGGUGGAGCAUGUGGUUUAAUUCGAAGCAACGCGAAGAACCUUACCAGGUCUUGACAUCCUCUGACAACUUUAGAGAUAGAGCGUUCCCCCUUCGGGGGACAGAGUGACAGGUGGUGCAUGGUUGUCGUCAGCUCGUGUCGUGAGAUGUUGGGUUAAGUCCCGCAACGAGCGCAACCCUUGAUCUUAGUUGCCAGCAUUUAGUUGGGCACUCUAAGGUGACUGCCGGUGACAAACCGGAGGAAGGUGGGGAUGACGUCAAAUCAUCAUGCCCCUUAUGACCUGGGCUACACACGUGCUACAAUGGAUGGUACAAGGGGCUGCAAGACCGCGAGGUCAAGCCAAUCCCAUAAAACCAUUCUCAGUUCGGAUUGUAGGCUGCAAC